GGUUACCAACUUCUGCGCCAGGAGAUACCUCAUGAGUGUCAAUGGGCAUUGGUGGGACGUGUACAUCUGUGGGCAGGUGUGAGGUAAUGUCUGGGCAAAAGCAUGCCAUGGAUCUAAUGCAAAAGACUUUAAAGUCCAUGGUCAGGAAUGGAGAAGGAAACAGAAUUCGAACAGCCCAGUGUGGAAAGCAGCUGUGUCGUGGAGGACUGGAUGGGAUGUCUGUGCCAAUGCAGGAGAGGACUGUGACCAGGACACUGUCCCCAGGCAUCUCUGCCUCGGCAGAUGGCCAGGUAAUUGGUCUGAGAAGGAUGGAGGGAAUGCCCGUGAGACCACACCAGAUAAGAACAUCAGGGAAGGUGACAACCGUACGUCCGUCUCCAAACUGAGAAGAUAUAGUGUCAUGUUCUUCACUGCACUGUAAGCAGUUAAUAGAAUAAGAACAAAUUAAAUGGGAAUCCAGUAAGACUUGGAAGGCACAUCCGUUUUUUUAUGCUAACAAAUAAUCUUGCUGCUACUUUCACAGAGCCACAGAGAAUGGCUGUGGUUGGAGACUGCCUGCUCUCAUGGAGAAAAUGUUCACUCUCACACAGGCUGAGGUCUGAGUAUCUCCACAGCCUCUCUGGACAGCCUACCCAGUGCCAAAUAUUCAACAAACCUUCUCACUUAAGAUGCAAAAAGCAAUCUUGAUUUAAAACAAACACAUAAAUCUCCAUUUUUUCUGGUUUCCUCAUGCUGUUAUUCCCACUGUGUAAUCUGAGCAUAAAGGAAAGACCGCUGCUGAACUUUUUGAAGCCUUCAUUUAGCAUCUGUAUGAAAAACAUUAAAAGAAAUAAUACGAACAAGUUGAAUGUAUAUAAGAAGUCUUAGAAGAUUGUAUCACAGAUAAGGAAAAUGCUUAGAAUUUUCUUUUUGUAUGUGUAAUGCCUUUGCAACCUACUCGCAGCAUUGUUCCCUGCAUGAGGGCCCCCUAAUUAUUUCAUCAUGCAGCAGGAAAUUCUGGUAGGUUAUAUAUAAACAGCCCGAGGCAGGGACCUCUUCAUCAGUUAGAGCGUGACAUCUGACAUGUGUGCAGCCUGCUGCUUGCAUGGCACCAUCACCCCGGCAGCCCGAGCGAGGAGGAAUGCGGGAGCAAUUGGGAGCACGGGGAUAACUGGAGGUGCCAAACUGUUCCUCUAAUCCAAGGCUAAAACUUCAUCUCUUCCCUUUCUGGCGGCCACAUCCCACCUCUCUGCAGCAGCAGGCGUGGUGACAGUGCGCCAGCAGCCGUGACAAGGGCUGGGUUCCCAGCCCUGUGCC
rnacentral:lncRNA from 1 species